CAGCACGGGUGCUUGCACCUGGUGGCGAGUGGCGAACGGGUGAGUAAUACAUCGGAACGUACCUUAUCGUGGGGGAUAACGCAGCGAAAGCUGUGCUAAUACCGCAUACGCCCUGAGGGGGAAAGCGGGGGAUCGAAAGACCUCGCGCGAUUAGAGCGGCCGAUGCCUGAUUAGCUUGUUGGUGGGGUAAAAGCCCACCAAGGCGACGAUCAGUAGCUGGUCUGAGAGGACGAUCAGCCACACUGGGACUGAGACACGGCCCAGACUCCUACGGGAGGCAGCAGUGGGGAAUUUUGGACAAUGGGGGCAACCCUGAUCCAGCAAUGCCGCGUGAGUGAAGAAGGCCUUCGGGUUGUAAAGCUCUUUUGUCAGGGAAGAAACACCGGCUCUAACACAGUCCGGGAAUGACGGUACCUGAAGAAUAAGCACCGGCUAACUACGUGCCAGCAGCCGCGGUAAUACGUAGGGUGCGAGCGUUAAUCGGAAUUACUGGGCGUAAAGCGUGCGCAGGCGGUUAUACAAGACAGGCGUGAAAUCCCCGGGCUUAACCUGGGAAUGGCGCCUGUGACUGUAUAGCUAGAGUGUGUCAGAGGGGGGUAGAAUUCCACGUGUAGCAGUGAAAUGCGUAGAUAUGUGGAGGAAUACCAAUGGCGAAGGCAGCCCCCUGGGAUAACACUGACGCUCAUG
rnacentral:rRNA from 1 species